rnacentral:rRNA from 1 species
CCCUUAGAUGUCCUGGGCUGCACGCGCGCUACACUGACACACCCAGCGAGUCUCCUGCCCUGACAGGGUUGGGUAAUCAUUGGAGUGUGUGUCGUGAUGGGGAUAGAGUAUUGCAAUUAUUGCUCUCGAACGAGGAAUUCCUAGUAAGCACAAGUCAGCAGCUUGUGCUGAUUACGUCCCUGCCCUUUGUACACACCGUCCGUCGCUCCUACCGAGGGGGUGAUCCGGUGAAUGAUUCGGACUUUGGCGUUUCUAGCUGCUAGCAGCGCUGAAGAAAGUUUUGUGAACCUUAUCACUUGGAGGAAGGAGUAGUCGUAACA